UAAGAGAUCAUCCAAUCGUGUCUCCACGGC
rnacentral:piRNA from 2 species